CAGCGGAGCAUGUGGCUUAAUUCGAAGCAACGCGCAGAACCUUACAACCCUUGACAUGGCAGGACCGCUGGAGAGAUUCAGCUUUCUCGUAAGAGACCUGCACACAGGUGCUGCAUGGCUGUCGUCAGCUCGUGUCGUGAGAUGUUCGGUUAAGUCCGGCAACGAGCGCAACCCACGUCCCUAGUUGCCAGCAUUCAGUUGGGCACUCUAUGGAAACUGCCGGUGAUAAGCCGGAGGAAGGUGUGGAUGACGUCAAGUCCUCAUGGCCCUUACGGUUGGGCUACACACGUGCUACAAUGGUGGUGACAGUGGGUUAAUCCCCAAAAGCCAUCUCAGUUCGGAUUGUCCUCUGCAACUCGAGGGCAUGAAGUUGGAAUCGCUAGUAAUCGCGGAACAGCAUGCCGCGGUGAAUACGUUCCCGGGCCUU
rnacentral:rRNA from 1 species